rnacentral:rRNA from 1 species
GAUGAACGCUGGCGGCGUGCCUAAUACAUGCAAGUCGAGCGAACAGACGAGGAGCUUGCUCCUCUGACGUUAGCGGCGGACGGGUGAGUAACACGUGGAUAACCUACCUAUAAGACUGGGAUAACUUCGGGAAACCGGAGCUAAUACCGGAUAAUAUAUUGAACCUCAUUGUUCAAUAGUGAAAGACGGUUUUGCUGUCACUUAUAGAUGGAUCCGCGCCGCAUUAGCUAGUUGGUAAGGUAACGGCUUACCAAGGCGACGAUGCGUAGCCGACCUGAGAGGGUGAUCGGCCACACUGGAACUGAGACACGGUCCAGACUCCUACGGGAGGCAGCAGUAGGGAAUCUUACGCGAUGGGCGAAAGCCUGACGGAGCAACGCCGCGUGAGUGAUGAAGGUCUUCGGAUCGUAAAACUCUGUUAUUAGGGAAGAACAAAUGUGUAAGUAACUAUGCACGUCUUGACGGUACCUAAUCAGAAAGCCACGGCUAACUACGUG